rnacentral:rRNA from 1 species
UACGUAGGUGGCAAGCGUUGUCCGGAUUUACUGGGCGUAAAGCGCGCGCAGGCGGACUGAUCAGUCUGGGGUGAAAUCUCCCGGCUCAACUGGGAGCGGUCCCUGGAUACUGUCAGUCUUGAGAGACCUAGAGGAGAGCGGAAUUCCCGGUGUAGUGGUGGAAUGCGUAGAUAUCGGGAAGAACACCAGUGGCGAAGGCGGCAUCCUGGACCGAGAUUGACGCUGAACGGCGAAAGCUAGGGGAGCAAACGGG